AUCAAGAAAUGAAGAUAUGAGUUUCCAGUUCCAGGGAGAAAUUCAGACUAGAAAUAUAAAAUUAGGAAUUUUAAAGUUGAUGGUCACAUUUAAAGCUGCAGAAUACAAGAAGAUCACCUGUGUGAGAUAACUGAGUCCUGAAACAUACCCAUGUUUAAAGAUCUGGGAGGUGUAGAGGAAUUAUCAAAGGAGAAUGAGAAGGAGCAGCCAGUGAGACAGGAAAAGAGUUUUAGGAAUCAGAGUACUCUAAAGAGGAUAGAAGAAGAGGAUGUCAUACAGAACAGAUGUGUUUGAUGGGGUGAUUAAAACUGGAAAUUUUGGAGUGGAUAAGAUUGUUAAUAAUGAAGUUUAACCAUGACCAUGGAUGAGGUGGAACAGAGGUAAGAUCACCAAAGAUGGGGGCAAGAAAUGGAGAGGACAUGUAUUGAAAGAAACACAUAUGUGGAUAUUGAUGUCACUGAAAAAUAUGAAAUAAGCAUUUAUGGAAAAGAAACAGGUGGAAACUAAAAUCUCGAAGGAAUUGUCAGGGGCAAUCAAAGGCUUGUGGAUGACUGAGUCGGGGGAGUUACUUGGGCAGUAAACAUAUUGGGUAGCAUGACUUUCAAAGGAACUGAGAGUUUUAGGGAAAAGGUCAUCCCAUGGGAAAUGCAGGGCAUCCAUCCUAUCUCCUGACACAGAGGUACAAGACAUAUUAAAGAGAUAUGGCAGACACUUCUGAGGAGUAAUAGAUGGCUUUGAGCAGAGAGUUGUGUUACAGCUUCUAACAUUGACUUGUUUAAUGUUCUGUGAAAUGUUAAAAUUUAAUAUGGCACUUUGAAAGUUAGUAAAUAUAAGAAAUAUCCAAGGAACUGGUUUUAAAAUGCAGAUGCUUCUUAGGUGAUCCAGGUGAACACUGUAAGUGAUGUCAUGUUGAUCAUAUGUACCAUUGCUUUAGUGUGAUAAGAAUGACACUUCACUUCAGCGGUCUUUCUCCCAAAAAUCCAUAGCCCUACUCUCAUCAUGAGAAAAACAUCAAACAAACCUCAACUGAGGGAUAUGUUAUGAAAUAUCUGACCAGUGCUUCUCAAAACUGUCAAGGUCAUGAAAAACAAUAACAAUGUCCAAGAAAUUGUCAUAGUAAAGAGAUGCUAAAGAAGACAUAAUGACAAAGUACAGUGUGGUAUUCUGGGUGGGGUCCUAGGACAGAAAAAGGACAAUGGGAAAAAAAUAACCAAAUAAUUCAGAAUAAAGUAUGGGAUUUGCUUAAUAACAGUGUAUCGAUACUGGUUCAUUAAUUAUGACAAAUGUGAAAUAGUAAUGUAAAAGUUGACAGUGGUGGAGACUGGGUCCAGUGUAUAUAGGAACUCCGUAUUAUCUUUGGAACUUUUCUGUAAAUCUAAAGUUAUUCUUCAAGAUAGUCUG
rnacentral:lncRNA from 1 species